AGGAACCCAGGAGCCAAGGAGCCAAGGAGCCCAGGAGCCAUGGUCCUGCUGAAGAUGAAGUUCACCCAGCAGAGGAGGGUGCGUCUGGCCCAGGGCUUGUGGCUCUUGUCCUGGAUGGCCGUGCUGAGUGGCUCCUUCAUCUUCUCUCUGGGGGUCUACCUGAAGAUAGAGCUGCUACGUAGGGCCGAGGUGAUGGACAACACCGAGAUCCACGUGGUGCCCAACAUGCUCCUGCUGGUGGGUCUGGCCGCCAUCGGCACCAACUGGGUGGCGGGCCGAGUGUGCCAGGACUCCUUGGACCCGGGUCGCUUCCCCCGCUGGAAGGUGGUCCUGCUGGGCUGGUAUGCUGCGGCCGCCCUCCUCUGCUGUCUGCUGCUGGCCGUGGUGGUCCUCAGCUACGCCCUGCAGGGCCGCCUGGAGGACUCCCUCAAGGUCGGCUUGAGGAACGGCAUCCGCUUCUACAAGGACACCGACGUUCCAGGGCGCUGCUUCCAGAAGGAGACCAUCGAUCGUCUGCAGAUGGAGUUCCGCUGCUGCGGAAACACCAACUUCAGGGAUUGGUUCGAGGUGCAGUGGGUCAGCAACAGAUACCUGGACUACACCUCCAAGGAUAUCAAGGAUCGCAUCCGCAGCAACAUAGACGGCCGCUUCCUGCUGGAUGGCGUGCCCUUCAGCUGCUGCAACCCGGUGUCCCCUCGGCCCUGCCUGCAGUCCCAGCUGACCGACAACGCCGCCCACUACAACUACGACUUCCAGAGCGAGGAGCUCAACCUUUACGCCCGCGGCUGCAGGGAGGCCCUGAUCAACUACUACAUGGAGCUGAUGAACUCCACUGGCCCCGGGGUGCUGUCUGUCAUCUUGAUACAGCUGUCCAUCCUGUUCAGCCUGCGCUACCUGCAGACCUCGGUGGAAGGCGCCAUGGCUCAGGACGAUCCGGAGGGUGACAGCCAGGGUUUCCUUCUGGAGAAGGGAGUGAAGGAGACCUUGGAGGAGGCCCAAGUCAAACUCCUGCUCUUGAUGAAGUUUGGGCAGGUGGACCCCGGUGCAGCCGAGGGUUCCGCUGACACCGCAGACAAGGACGCCGCCCCGCCUUCUUCCAGCUAGGUGACUGUGGAAUGUGAGAAGGAUGCUGAAAGUUGGUUUUGACACCACACAGGGUGAUUCAAAAAGACCCUUAGGUCUUCUGACAAGAUGUUCCAUAGACCAGUCUACCACCUGACAAGAUGUUCCAUAGACCAGUCUACCACCUGUCAAGAUGUUCCAUAGACCAGUCUACCACCUGACAAGAUGUUCCAUAGACCAGUCUACCACCUGACAAGAUGUUCCAUAGACCACUCUACCACCUGACAAGAUGUUCCAUAGACCAGUCUACCACCUGACAAGAUGUUCCAUAGACCAGUCUACCACCU